rnacentral:rRNA from 1 species
GGGGGAUAUUGCACAAUGGAGGAAACUCUGAUGCAGCAACGCCGCGUGAGGGAAGAAGGUCUUCGGAUUGUAAACCUUUGUCCUUGGUGACGAAACAAAUGACGGUAGCCAAGGAGGAAGCUCCGGCUAACUACGUGCCAGCAGCCGCGGUAAUGCGUAGGGAGCAAGCGUUGUCCGGAUUUACUGGGCGUAAAGGGUGCGUAGGCGGCUCUGCAAGUCAGGUGUGAAAACCAUCGGCUUAACUGAUGGACUGCAUUUGAAACUGUGGGGCUUGAGUGGAGUAGAGGCAGACGGAAUUCCCGGUGUAGCGGUGAAAUGCGUAGAGAUCGGGAAGAACACCAGUGGCGAAGGCGGUCUGCUGGGCUCUAACUGACGCUGAGGCACGAAAGCAUGGGUAGCAAAC